rnacentral:rRNA from 1 species
UACGGCGAGUGAAGCGGCAAAAGCUCAAAUUUGAAAUCUGGCGUCUUCGACGUCCGAGUUGUAAUUUGAAGAAGUAACUCUGAUGCUAGUCCCUGUCUAUGUUCCUUGGAACAGGACGUCAUAGAGGGUGAGAAUCCCGUCUGGCGGGGGUGCUAGUGUCAUGUAGAGUGCUUUCGACGAGUCGAGUUGUUUGGGAAUGCAGCUCUAAGUGGGUGGUAAAUUCCAUCUAAAGCUAAAUAUUGGCGAGAGACCGAUAGCGAACAAGUACAGUGAUGGAAAGAUGAAAAGAACUUUGAAAAGAGAGUGAAAAAGUACGUGAAAUUGUUGAAAGGGAAGGGCAUUUGAUCAGGCAUGGUGUUUUGCGGCACUCGCUCCUCGUGGGUGGGUUCACCGCAGCUCACUGGGCCAGCAUCAGUUUUGGUGGCAGCAUAAAUCCUUGGGAAUGUGACUUUGUCUUCGGAGGAAGUGUUAUAGCCCAAGGCCAUACUGCCAACCGGGACUGAGGACUGCGGCUUCGGCCAAGGAUGCUGGCAUAAUGGUUAAAUGCCGCCCGUCUUGA